UCUGCCUCCCGGGUUCAAGUGAUUCUACUGCCUCAGCCUCUUGAAUAGCUGGGAUUAUAGGCACCCGCCACUGCGCCCAGCUGAUUUUUGUAUUUUUAGUAGGGAUGGGGUUUCACCAUGUUGGCAAGGCUGGUCUUGAACUCCUGACCUCAGGUGAUCCUCCUGCCUCGGCCUCCCAAAGAGCUAAGAUUACUGGCGUGAGUGACUGCAGCCAGCCAAUUUUUGUAUUUUUUGUAGAGACUGGGUUUCACUAUAUUGCCGAGACUGGUCUCAAACUCCUGGAGUCAAGUGAUCCUCCCUGCUUGGCCUCCCAAGGUGCUGGAAUUACAGGUUCUUGUCUGUCGCCCAGGCUAGAGUGCAGUGGCACCAUCAGAGGCUCACUGCAGCCUUGACAUCCUGGGCUCAGGUGAUCCUCUCACCUCAGCCUACCGAGCAGCCGGGACUACAGAUGCAUGCUACCACGCCCAGCUAAUAUUUGUAGAGACAGGGUUUUGCCAUGUUGCUCAGCGUGGUCUUGAACUCCUGGACUCAAGUGAUCUGCCCACCUCAGCCUCUCAAAGUGCUGAGAUUACAGGCAUGAGCCACCUUGCUUACCCUUGUUAACUGGUUAUUCCUAUUCACUUAAUAUCUUCUGCCUAUUUUUUGACUGAGUGCUUGAUCUUUUAUGACUUCUAUUUAUUAAAGAAACUAGUUCUUUGUGUUUUUUUUCCCUCUAGUUUGUCAUUUGGGUUUUGAUUUUGUUUAUGCCUUGCACUUGUAGAAAGUCAUUUUGGUGUAUUUGAAUUAUUAAAUGUUUUUCUUUAUGCCUUCUGGGUAUGACGUUAAACUCUGAAAAGUCUUCUCCAAAACUUAAAGUUUCUUCCACGGUUUCUUUAGGUAUUUUUAUAGUUU
rnacentral:lncRNA from 1 species